rnacentral:rRNA from 1 species
UACAGAGGGGGCAAGCGUUAUUCGGAAUUAUUGGGCGUAAAGGGCGCGUAGGCGGCUUGGCAAGUGGAUGGUGAAAUCCCUCGGCUUAACCGAGGAACUGCCGUCCAAACUGCUUCGCUUGAGACCGGGAGAGGUGAGUGGAAUUCCCAGUGUAGCGGUGAAAUGCGUAGAUAUUGGGAGGAACACCAGUGGCGAAGGCGGCUCACUGGACCGGUACUGACGCUGAUGCGCGAAGGCUAGGGGAGCGAACGGG